UGAGUAACACGUAUCCAACCUGCCUCAUACAGGGGGAUAACAGUUAGAAAUGGCUGCUAAUACCGCAUAAGACCACAGUACUGCAUGGUACAGUGGUAAAAACUCCGGUGGUAUGAGAUGGACCCGCGUCUGAUUAGGUAGUUGGUGAGGUAACGGCCCACCAAGCCGACGAUCAGUAGCCGACCUGAGAGGGUGACCGGCCACAUUGGGACUGAGACACGGCCCAG
rnacentral:rRNA from 1 species